rnacentral:lncRNA from 10 species
AAAAAAAAAAAAAAAAAAAGAAAGAAAAAAGAAAACAGAUAAAGGACAAGCAAAUAGAGAGGGGGAAAGCAGCCACCACCGUAAUUUGAACAGUAAAACUGAGAGGAACUUUGAAGUGGAAAGGAGUGUAGUCUUUAUUUCAUCCUUGGGGAUUUGUCAGGGCUGGAGGAUGCACACAACAAAUAAAUAAUUUAGAGUGCUCUGAAAUAUGGUCAGACAGCAUAUGCCUUGCAGUUAUGUCUACACUUUGUGCUUGAUCCAAGCAUACAUAUUAUUGGGGCAAUAUCUGACUGAUACCUUUUAAACACAC